rnacentral:rRNA from 1 species
CAAUCAAACUUCGUGAUAGCUGGUUCUCUCCGAAAUAUAUUUAGGUAUAGCGUUGUGUCGUAAUAUAAGGGGGUAGAGCACUGAAUGGGCUAGGGCAUACACCAAUGUACCAAACCCUAUCAAACUCCGAAUACCUUAUAUGUAAUCACAGCAGUCAGGCGGCGAGUGAUAAAAUCCGUCGUCAAGAGGGAAACAACCCAGACUACCAGCUAAGGUCCCUAAGUCUUACUUAAGUGGAAAACGAUGUGAAGUUACUUAAACAACCAGGAGGUUGGCUUAGAAGCAGCCAUCCUUUAAAGAAAGCGUAAUAGCUCACUGGUCUAGUGAUUUUGCGCGGAAAAUAUAACGGGGCUAAAGUAAGUACCGAAGCUGUAGACUUAGUUUACUAAGUGGUAGGAGAGCGUUCUAUUUGCGUCGAAGGUAUACCGGUAAGGAGUGCUGGAGCGAAUAGAAGUGAGCAUGCAGGCAUGAGUAGCGAUAAUUAAUGUGAGAAUCAUUAACGCCGUAAACCCAAGGUUUCCUACGCGAUGCUCGUCAUCGUAGGGUUAGUCGGGUCCUAAGUCGAGUCCGAAAGGGGUAGACGAUGGCAAAUUGGUUAAUAUUCCAAUACCAACAUUAGUGUGCGAUGGAAGGACGCUUAGGGCUAAGGGGGCUAGCGGAUGGAAGUGCUAGUCUAAGGUCGUAGGAGGUUGUACAGGCAAAUCCGUAUAACAAUACUCCGAGAACUGAAAGGCUUUUUGAAGUCUUCGGAUGGAUAGAAGAACCCCUGAUGCCGUCGAGCCAAGAAAAGUUUCUAAGUUUAGCUAAUGUUGCCCGUACCGUAAACCGACACAGGUGGGUGGGAUGAGUAUUCUAAGGCGCGUGGAAGAACUCUCUUUAAGGAACUCUGCAAAAUAGCACCGUAUCUUCGGUAUAAGGUGUGGUUAGCUUUGUAUUAGGAUUUACUCCGAAAGCAAGGAAACUUACAACAAAGAGUCCCUCCCGACUGUUUACCAAAAACACAGCACUCUGCUAACUCGUAAGAGGAUGUAUAGGGUGUGACGCCUGCCCGGUGCUCGAAGGUUAAUUGAUGGGGUUAGCAUUAGCGAAGCUCUUGAUCGAAGCCCGAGUAAACGGCGGCCGUAACUAUAACGGUCCUAAGGUAGCGAAAUUCCUUGUCGGUUAAAUACCGACCUGCAUGAAUGGCGUAACGAGAUGGGAGCUGUCUCAAAGAGGGAUCCAGUGAAAUUGUAGUGGAGGUGAAAAUUCCUCCUACCCGCGGCAAGACGGAAAGACCCCGUGGACCUUUACUACAGCUUGACACUGCUACUUGGAUAAGAAUGUGCAGGAUAGGUGGGAGGCUUUGAGUAUAUGACGCCAGUUGUAUAUGAGCCAUUGUUGAGAUACCACUCUUUCUUAUUUGGGUAGCUAACCAGCUUGAGUUAUCCUCAAGUGGGACAAUGUCUGGUGGGUAGUUUGACUGGGGCGGUCGCCUCCCAAAUAAUAACGGAGGCUUACAAAGGUUGGCUCAGAACGGUUGGAAAUCGUUCGUAGAGUAUAAAGGUAUAAGCCAGCUUAACUGCAAGACAUACAAGUCAAGCAGAGACGAAAGUCGGUCUUAGUGAUCCGGUGGUUCUGUGUGGAAGGGCCAUCGCUCAAAGGAUAAAAGGUACCCCGGGGAUAACAGGCUGAUCUCCCCCAAGAGCUCACAUCGACGGGGAGGUUUGGCACCUCGAUGUCGGCUCAUCGCAUCCUGGGGCUGGAGCAGGUCCCAAGGGUAUGGCUGUUCGCCAUUUAAAGCGGUACGCGAGCUGGGUUCAGAACGUCGUGAGACAGUUCGGUCCCUAUCUGCCGUGGGCGUAAGAAGAUUGAAGAGAUUUGACCCUAGUACGAGAGGACCGGGUUGAACAAACCACUGGUGUAGCUGUUGUUCUGCCAAGAGCAUCGCAGCGUAGCUAAGUUUGGAAAGGAUAAACGCUGAAAGCAUCUAAGCGUGAAGCCAACUCUAAGAUGAAUCUUCUCUAAGCUCUCUAGAAGACUACUAGUUUGAUAGGCUGGGUGUGUAAUGGAUGAAAGUCCUUUAGCUGACCAGUACUAAUAGAGCGUUUGGCUUAUCUUUAAUAAAGCAU